rnacentral:rRNA from 1 species
UACGUAGGGUCCGAGCGUUGUCCGGAAUCACUGGGCGUAAAGCGCACGUAGGCGGAUCGUUAAGUCAGGGGUGAAAUCCUGGAGCUCAACUCCAGAACUGCCUUUGAUAAUGGCGAUCUUGAGUUCGGGAGAGGUGAGUGGAACUGCGAGUGUAGAGGUGAAAUUCGUAGAUAUUCGCAAGAACACCAGUGGCGAAGGCGGCUCACUGGCCCGAUACUGACGCUGAGGUGCGAAAGCGUGGGGAGCAAACAGG